rnacentral:misc_RNA from 1 species
GUGUUCCAUCUUCAGGUGUGUUUUAUUUGUACAAAAGAAAGUGAUUAUUCUAGAGCUGGGAGGCCAUAUUCUAAAAUACUUUCAAUAACAUAAUUUUUUGUAUAUUAAAGGGGUUCGCGAAGUUUGUUUUCAGCAACCUUCAGCUGAAUUUUUAUUUGUAAAGCAAUAUUUUCGAUGUAGCAUAAUUAUUAGGGAGCACAAUUUGAAGUCGUUCGUAAACUUUUUAUUUGUUAUUUCUAAAAAAAUGCAAAGUUUGAUUGAUGGCGUGUCUCGGGGAUCAAGCUGUGCCUCUAGUGGCGGAAGCCAUUCUGACGUAAGCUAUCUCAUUGGAAAUUCGAUAGCUACACCUACAAGUCAGGCACUAAAAACUCAACGCAACUUCAAAUUAUUGUCUGAUCCAGCUUUAAUCAAGGGCGCUACAAAAACUUAUCGUUAUGAUGGAGUUUGCCCAACAGACCAAACUUAUUCACCGGUGAUUCCUAGGGAUCCACGGAAUCCUAUUGUUCGGAUGCGAGCCAGGCCAGUGGAACCCAUGGUCCUCAUUGUCCCGCGAUUAACAAUUGAUAAAAAUUACGUUGGUCAACCCCCCCCAAUUGAAAUUACUCUAACAAAUUUAAACGACAACAUAGAUAGGCAAUUUUUGGCAGGAAUGUUAAUCAAGUGUGGCCCUUAUGAUGAGCUAUUAAUAUAUCACCAUCCGAAAACAAAUAAACAUCUUGGAGUCGCGCGAAUUGUGUUUGAAAACAUUAAAGGCGCUCGGUUGUGUGUUGAGAAAUACAAUCAGAAAUCUGUAAUGGGAAAGGUGUUAAGCGUAUUCCAUGACCCUUUUGGUCUUAUUUGCAAGCAAACAGUUGAUCAUUUGUCAACAGGAAAACCCAAACAUUUUCCCAACGUGAUUGACGAAGGGCAAUUCUCUAGACCACAACAAUCUGUCUCAGUGACACAAAACAGCGCAAUUCAUGGACCGUCUCAACCUCUGAAAGAGUAUAAAAAUGAAGAAUCUUUUAAAGACGAAGAGCUGUCAGGAUAUCAAACGUUUCGAACGAAUCGAGAUUAUUAUAUACAGCCCUAUCGGAGGCAUAUGGUAGAUGAAUAUCAAAGUAAAGACUCUAGAGAAAAGGAGCGUAUUCGAGAUAAAUACUCAUAUCAAACGUAUGAUCGUAGUAAGAAUCAUCAUAACAGGCAUGAAACUGAAAGAGACGUUUCUACCGAAAGAAAUAGAGAGCGGAGCAACCAUCGUGAUCGUGAAAGAGACAGGGAUUACUACAAAUCUCGACAUCGCGAUAGACGACAUGAUCAUGAUGAACAAAACGAAAGGGACUAUCGUAAAAGAAAUAUAACACGAUGUGAUAAGGACAGAGAAAGAGGAAAAGGUCGUAAUCUGACACAAGUCACAAAGGAGUAUGAAUCAUCAAAUAAUUUUAAGAAUAAUUCGGAAAUUGCCGAGGUAGACAAGUUCUAUUUUCAUCAUCUCGGAGCUUCAAUCCAGCAACAUUCUGCGCCUUCGUUAAAUAUAACAUCGGACCCAGGCUACACUUACUCUACUUAUGGUUAUAAUACCGAAUGUGCUCAAAAUACUUGGGCAGGUCAAAGGUCAUGGACUGCACCGCAGCCUCAAUCGCAGCCAAAAGUUGAAAUUCCACCACCACCUCCUCCCGAUAAAACACCAAAUUGGGAUGAUCCAGAGCCUCCGCCUCCGGGACAAGCAAGUCCUGAAAAUUUAAAUCCGCAAUUCAAUAAAUCAAGUAUGCCGCCAGAAAAUGAUUCCAAGGGAAUUAUUUCAGAGAAAACUGAAAAUAACGAACUAGGGAAGGUAGACUUGGAUACCAGAAUAGAGAUGAUGUUUAAAAGGAAAUCCUUCGGGAAUCCUCCACCAUUCCUCCAAAUUGAGAGUAGUGAAUCGGAGACAGAAAACAGCACAGAAAAAAAGGAUGAAAUGAAAACAACUUCCGAUGAUACUCAAAAGUCGAAGUUAAAAUUAUCAUUUAAAAAACAAAAUAAAAUGGCGCAACCAUAUGAACAACAAGAUGCAAGUGACAUUUCCUCAAGCGAUGAUGAAAUUCUUCAUAAAAAAGAAUCUUUGAGUCCCAUACUCAUACAAAAGGAAGAGGAUCACAUGUCUCUAUCAAGCCUAUCUUCUCAUGACGUUAUACACCGCAAAGAAAAGUCAAUGCAAUCCCAUAAUGCUUCAGAGAAGCGUACGAACUUUACAGAAAAGGAUAUAGGAUCAAGAUACAGUACAUAUUCAUAUUCUAAUAAUGAAUAUUAUAAGCAGAACUUAAUUUACUCUUUGCCACUUUACCCCGAUAUAUCAACGCCUCAUUUUCCAAACCCAGCAUAUAUGCAUUCAGCGUACAUGCCUGGCUUUAGAAGCAUAACAUAUGGAUCAUCAUAUAAUGAGGAGUAUGGUCAUUGUACUCAACCAUUGAGCAACGAUAAAAUAUAUUCUGGUUAUACUUACAACCAAAAUGAUCCAUUUAAAAAGCAAAUAGAUGCAGUUGUUGAUCGAGUAAGUACUGAAUUGAAGCAAAUACUUAAAAGAGAUUUUAAUAAAAAAAUGAUAGAAAAUACUGCUUAUAAAAAUUUUGAGUCUUGGUGGGAUGAUCAAAUGCAGAAAAGUCGACAUAAGAACAGGGAUUCAGUGUUAAAUGACAAAAAUACGUUAAUUUCUGAUACUUCGUCAUCAAAAAGAGUGGAUAAGGCUCCAGAUAUAAACCAGAUAAUUAAUAAUCAAUGUGAUAUGACUGAUUUGUGUUCAUUUACUAGCCUUGGUCUUAGGGCUUCGAUUCCGAAAUUGCCUUCUUUUCGUAGAAUUCGCAAGAAAUCCAUAUCACCGGCUAAGGAUGACUAUGAAAAGCAUUUAAGUGACCAGGAUGAAAUGGUUCGUGGUUCUGAUUCUGAAAAAGAAGAUACAAACGUGGAUAUGAGUAACAUUCGUAAGAAAACUGACCUUUCGCCAAAGUCAAAGAUAAAACCAAACUCACCUAGUUCUUCUUCAUCGGAAUCGGAUGAUAGUAGUGAAGGUGAGUCAAGCGAUGAGAGUGAAGCAUCUGGAGAUGACUUUAGUUCGUGUUCCGAAAAUGGGGGCAACCGAAGUAAUUCUUGGAAAGCAGAUAUUGAAGGAAAGAAAGAAAAAGCUAUAUAUUCUAAAAACGACAUAUACUCAGAUAGCGAAAAUGAGCAAGGCACGUACAGUAAGGUAAUAGAAUCCGUUAAUAUCGACCGCAGAAAAUCUUCUAGUGUAAAUAAAGACUUCUCCAUUACGUCCGAUUUGGAAGACAUUAGUAAGGACAGCAAUAUUACUAUAGAAGAUACAGAAGAAAAGGACAAUAAACAAGUAAUUGAAAGCGCUACAGUUUUAAAUGAAAGUUCAAUUACAUCACUUCCGAAUGAGUCAAAUAUAGAAAAGAUUGACAAGAAAACAAAAAAUUCAUCGCAUUUCGGAUAUGAUCGCAUUUAUAGUGAUUCUGAGGAAGAGCGGGAGUAUCAAGAGCGACGCCGACGUAACACCGAGUAUAUGGCUCAAAUAGAACGUGAGUUCCUUGAGGAACAGGCACUGAAACUGCGCGAAGUUCAAAAAGCGAGUCAUGUUAGUGUGGAAAAUGAAAAUGAAAAACCUGCUCACGUACAAAAUAUAUCAGAUUUACCAAAUGAAACAGAAUAUCCUUACAAAAAACCUACAUCUGCAACUUUAGAAAACUCGUUACCAUUAGAAAAAAUUGUGGAUGAUACGAAUUUCGCUGAUAGAAAGAAAGAUAAAAAUAAGGGAAAAAUAAAGAAUGAAGCCAAAUAUAAAAGAAAGCAGGAAUAUAAAAGUAAAAAUCAACUUUUUACAGCACCUUUACCUUUACAAAAUUUGUCGGAAACAUGUAACAAACAGUUAAUCAAAUCAACUAAUGGAUUAGAGGAAGAACAUAUAAGUACGAACGAAUUUGAAAAACUUGUGACAAAUCAAGUUUAUAAAGAAUUUAACGAUGAUGUAAAAAUGUCACCAUCCUCUGAUGGUGGCUCAAGUCAGGCAAGCCAAGCUAGUCAAGUUGCUUUAGAGCACUGUUAUUCAUUACCGCCACAUGCUGAUACAUCAAAAGGUUCUCAUCAAAAAGAAAAACAAAUUUAUCCCAACAGAUAUAAUGCCAAUGAAAAGCAACAAAAUUUAGAACAUGAUCACGGUAGUUAUGCUAAUGUUAAUACUUCAGGAAAUAGUACAGAACUGUUUUCUACUGAGAAAGAAAAAACAAUUCAUCGGCAAAAUACAAAGCCAGGUCCUGGUCGUCCAAGAAAGGAUCCAGCGAAAAUGCGUAGGAGAAAUGGCGUAGCACAAAGUUCUAAUAAACUAGAAAUGGAUAAAAAUGUUCUCACAAGAGAUAUGUUGAUGCGAAAUCUAGUUUCCCAAACCCAUUAUAUUCCAUUAGAGCUUUUCAAAGCCCGAGAUGCAACGGAUGAGUUGAUGGUCUUGUAUGAAUUUCUUACAAAGGGAAUUGACUUUGAAGAUAUUAAAUAUAUACGGAGGAGCUAUGAAAUACAUCUCCAAGAAGAUACUUAUGGAUUUUGGUUGAAUAACACCCAUUGGGUAGACCAUUGCAUAACUGAUCGCUCCUUCCUUCCACCUCCACCCAAAAAGCGGAAACGAGAAGACGAACUUAAGAAACACAAAUCAGGUUGCGCUCGCACCGAAGGAUAUUAUAAAUUAGAUAUCAGGGAGAAGGCUAAACAUAAAUAUCAUCAUGCUAAAUCUACUGCAGAAAGUACUCUCAGUAUAGAUAGGAAUGAAGAUCAAUUACAGCAAUCACAUAAUAAAUUAGUAUCAAAAAUGCAAGGUAUAUCACGUGAAGCAAGAUCUAAUCAACGGCGCUUGCUAACUGCAUUCGGUUCAAUCGGAGAGUCUGAAUUGUUAAAGUUUAACCAGUUGAAAUUUAGAAAGAAGCAACUGAAGUUUGCAAAAUCCGCUAUACAUGAUUGGGGAUUAUUUGCAAUGGAACCGAUAGCAGCGGAUGAAAUGGUUAUAGAAUAUGUCGGUCAAAUGAUACGUCCAAUAGUUGCUGAUUUACGAGAAUCUAAAUACGAGGCAAUAGGUAUUGGAAGUUCAUAUUUAUUUAGAAUUGAUAUGGAAACAAUUAUUGAUGCUACAAAGUGUGGCAAUUUGGCACGUUUUAUUAAUCACAGUUGUAACCCAAACUGCUACGCUAAGGUUAUUACUAUUGAAUCUGAAAAAAAGAUUGUCAUAUACUCGAAGCAACCGAUUGGAAUAAACGAAGAGAUAACUUAUGACUAUAAAUUUCCAUUAGAAGAUGAAAAAAUUCCCUGCUUAUGCGGAGCACAGGGAUGCCGGGGAACUCUCAACUAAUUGCGAUAUUUUAGUUCUUAUCAAUACCUCAUUAAGUAAACUUUGAAAAUAUAUAUAUCCGAUGAUAACCAGCGGUACAGAUGUGAUUAUGCGCGAUAUCCUGGUAGUACGACGACUCUCGUGUACAUGGACUAUAAGCGAUGUCAAGAAGUACUUCGAAAGAAGUUACAGGAAAGAAAAACGAAAUGUACUACAGGAGGUACACCAUUACUGAUGACAUCAUUUCGUUCGCAGGACAAAGAAUGUCCUGAAAGAGGUUUGAAAAAAAUAUAUUCGGAAGUCCGAAAUAUCGUCGAUAGAAAAAUCGGGUUAUUCAAAAAUCGACUUUGUUGUAUACUCGUACUUGGUGGGCUGUGCAUUGCAUAAGAUAAGCGAUCAUUGCCUUGUAAAAGAACCUUUGAUGAAGGCCAAACUGAGAAGCAACCGCCCUAGAUAAUUUUGAGUAAAAUGAAUCUGUAAAUUAUACAAGAGAAGCAAUAUAAAUGAUAAAGCAUUCUUAGAGCUUCGCCAAUAAUUUAUUUCAAUUUCUUUAAAUUCGUUUUUCAUAUUCUGGUAUACACAUAAAUAAAUAAAAAAAUAUACGUAUAGGGCAGCCUAGUCCUCAGUCUUCAUUUCAUUUAAAAUAUAAAAAAGAACUUAAACGAAUUUAAUUUAAGUUGCAAAUUCGUGUUGUCAAAAAUUCAACCAGUAAGGAUUAGCAAACAAAUGAUUUGUGAUCAUAUGAUUGAAUUUUUGUCCACAGC